GCGGGUGUAGCUCAGUUGGUUAGAGCGCCAGGUUGUGGUCCUGGAGGUCAUCGGUUCGAGGCCGAUCACUCGCCCCA
rnacentral:tRNA from 1 species